UAGGGAAUCUUCGGCAAUGGACGGAAGUCUGACCGAGCAACGCCGCGUGAGUGAAGAAGGUUUUCGGAUCGUAAAGCUCUGUUGUUAGAGAAGAACGUUGGUAGGAGUGGAAAAUCUACCAAGUGACGGUAACUAACCAGAAAGGGACGGCUAACUACGUGCCAGCAGCCGCGGUAAUACGUAGGUCCCGAGCGUUGUCCGGAGUUAUUGGGCGUAAAGCGAGCGCAGGCGGUUCUUUAAGUCUGAAGUUAAAGGCAGUGGCUUAACCAUUGUACGCUUUGGAAACUGGAGGACUUGAGUGCAGAAGGGGGGAGUGGAAUUCCAUGUGUGGCGGUGGAAGGCGUAGAUAUAUGGAGGAACACCGGUGGCGAAAGCGGCUCUCUGGUCUGUAACUGACGCUGAGGCACGAAAGCGUGGGGAGCAAACAGG
rnacentral:rRNA from 1 species